ACGGAGGAAGCCGAAAAUCCGGAAAAGAGUAGGUG
ncrna:unclassified sequences DTF805b RNA